GAAUAACUGAAUGGUCUAUAUCCGGCUUCUAUUUUGUCAUUCCCACCUUUGACAAUACUACUGUGCUACAGGCACUUAUGUCUUCAUUUGGUGCUAACCAGUUCCCAGAAUGGAUGUGAAAAAGGAAGGCUCAACACUACAUAGAAGCUGUGAAAGCUUGGAGCUUGCACUCUCUGAAGCCAUGGCCCAAGCUGUACCUUGGCUCCUUUUAGCAACAGCUGGAGUACCUGAGAGGAAAGGCACCAAGUCCCUAGGCUGCACUCAGCAUAGGACCCAGUCUAGGAGACCAAUUUUUUUCUCCUGGACCUCUGGGCCUGUGUUGGAAAGGCUGCCAAGAAGAUCUCUGACAUGCCCUGGAUACAUUUUCCCCAUUGUCAUCAUGAUUAACAUUUGGCUCCUUGGUAGUUAUGCAAAUUUCUGCAGCAGGCUUGGAUUUCUCUCCAGAAAAUUGUUUUUUCUUUUCUAGUGCAUCAUCAGGCUGCAAAUUUUCCAUACUUUCAUGCUCUGCUUCCUCUUGAAUGCUUUGACAUUUAGAAAUUUCUUCUGCCAGAUACCCUAAAUCAUCUCUCUCAAGUUCAAAAUUCCACAAAUCUCUACCACCAGACUCUUUGUCAAAACAUAGCAAGAGUCACCUUUACUUCGGUUCCCAACAAGUUCCUCACAUGCAUCGGAGACCAUUCCAGACUGGACUUUAUUGUCUAUAUCACUAUCAGCAUUUUAGUCAAAGCCAUUCAACAAGUCUCUAGAAAACUCAAAACUUUCUCACAUCUUCCAGUUUUCUUCUGAGCCCUCCAAACUGUUCCAACUUCUGCCUGUAACCCAGUUCCAAAGUCACUUCCACGUUUUCGGGUAUCUUUACAGUGGUACCAAUUUACUGUAUUAAUCUGUUUUUUC
rnacentral:lncRNA from 10 species